rnacentral:rRNA from 1 species
UACGUAGGGUGCAAGCGUUGUCCGGAAUUAUUGGGCGUAAAGCGCUCGUAGGCGGUCUGUCGCGUCGGCUGUGAAAACCCGGAGCUCAACUCCGGGCCUGCAGUCGAUACGGGCAAACUGGAGUGUUGCAGGGGAGACUGGAAUUCCUGGUGUAGCGGUGAAAUGCGCAGAUAUCAGGAGGAACACCGGUGGCGAAGGCGGGUCUCUGGGCAUUACCUGACGCUGAGGAGCGAAAGUGUGGGGAGCGAACAGG